rnacentral:rRNA from 1 species
AUGAGACCGUCGAACGGUCAGACCAUGGGUGGUACUACAAAAUAUAUGUCUCCUCUGGCUCUGGGCACUCUCAGUUCCUCGCUUCCCCCGAUGCUUGUGCUCUGCUCCCUUGUCCAUGCAUCAUUAGGUGCUACUACGGCACUCCCAAAGGAUUCUAGCACCGACUUCCAUGCUCUCCGCUGCCUUAAACUCCAUCUCAGCAGUACUGCUGGACCCCUAGCUUCGUGGAAGAACGACUCACUGCACUUCUGCGGUUGGUCUGGUGUUACUUGCAGCAAGAGACACGCGUCUCGUGUCGUUGCGCUGGACCUCGAGUCGUUUAAUCUCGAUGGCCAAAUACCUGCUUGCAUUGGCAACCUCACUUUCCUCACAAGAAUGCACAUCCCCAACAAUCGACUCAGUGGACAAAUUCCACCUGAAAUUGGCCAACUAAAUCGGUUGCGGUACCUUAACCUCAGCUCAAAAUAUCUUAGUGGAAUGAUCCCAAGCACUCUGUCUUCAUGCUUUCACCUUCAAAUUGUUGAUCUUGGAAGCAACUCCCUUGAUGGAGUGAUCCCCCCAAGCCUGAGCCGAUGUUCAGAUAUGCAGCAGCUCAACUUGGGUCGCAACAAGCUCAGUGGAGGUAUCCCACAAGGAUUGGGGUCGCUCCGCAACCUCUCGGUUUUACAUCUUGCUACAAAUAGCCUGACGGGCAACAUCCCGACUACACUUGGAAGCAGCUCUUCUCUUCGCUCUGUUGUUCUUGUGAACAAUAGCCUCACUGGACAUAUCCCGCCUCUCCUCGCUAAUAGUUCAUCCCUUCAACUUCUGGACUUAACAAACAAUCGCAUGAGCGGAGAGAUACCUUCUGCAUUGCUUAACACUUAA